CUCUCUUCUCUUUCUCUCUUAGUCACUUGCUCUGUGAGAAACCAGCUGCCAUAUUGUGAGCAGCCUGUGCAGAGGGACAUGUGUCAAGGAACUAAUGUCUCACACAGUAGAAAUAAAUGGAGACAGACCAAACGAGGAUUAAGCCAAAGCUAUUUAUUUAUUUAGAGUUUGUCAUAUACAAGGAAGUCAGCCAUGUCACUUGCAUUUUGUUAAACUCAAAAAGCAGGAAGAGGAGUAAGAACAUUUUAGAGUUGGAAAAAAAGAAGGCAUCAGGUGUGCCCUGAUUGAAGUCUUCUGGCAUAGGAAAACAGUAGCUGUGAAAUGAAGAGAUUGAGUGAGACCAUCUGUCAUUUCUAUGAUUUUAUGCUCAACUAUCCUCUUGGGAAGCCAAGAUUUCAGCUGAGAAAGAAAAAUGUCCUUGAGAUCCAAGGACAAGAUGACCUCAGAUAUGGGACGAUUUUGCAACUUCCUCAGAGACAAGUUUCCAAGCAUUUAUACAUCUUCUUCCUCUCUGGAAACAUCAUUUAUACCCUGACUUUCAACAAUUGAAUUUGAGUUCCAUCCUGGCCUUAUUUCCCUGGAGAAGCAGGUGGGGAUCUCUGUACUGACUUGGUCAUAAAAUUUUGCCAAUUAAUUUGGAACAAAGCUAUUAAGGUCAAGAUUCUUCAGAUGAUUAGAAAUUUCCAUAAUGCAAUCCAAUUUUUGAAGCCUUUGAGGAUAUUUAAUCCUGAUUAUUGUGAUUAACAUGUAAAUAUAAGCAUGCCAAAUAAACAUUAUGAGAAAUA